rnacentral:rRNA from 1 species
UACGUAUGGUGCAAGCGUUAUCCGGAUUUACUGGGCGUAAAGGGAGCGCAGGCGGCGCGCCAAGUCUGAUGUGAAACCCCGGGGCUCAACCCCGGGCAUGCAUUGGAAACUGGCGGGCCGGAGUGCCGGAGAGGUAAGCGGAAUUCCUAGUGUAGCGGUGAAAUGCGUAGAUAUUAGGAGGAACACCAGUGGCGAAGGCGGCUUACUGGACGGCAACUGACGCUGAGGCUCGAAAGCGUGGGGAGCAAACAGG